GAGGAGUUUUAUUCUUGCUCGAUUGUUCAUUUUUUGCUUGCUCUAUAUGUAAGUUUGUGCGUGAUUUCACUUCUGGUUCUAGAUGGGCUGGCGUGAGGGGUUUUGUAUAUGAUUAAUUCUCAUUAGUUGUUAUUAUUGAUCAAGUAUUCUUGUAGUUAGUGAUGCAUUUUAGUUUCGGUUAAAUUUUGUGCCAGCAGCCGCGGUUAUACCUUGGAUGCGAUUGAACAUGUUUGGCUUUAGUAGUUUUAUGUUUUGAAUUGUUUGGUUUGUUAUUAGGUGGUGAUUAGGUGAAAUUUUUAUCCCUAUUGUUUUUCCUUAUUGUUUGUUUGGAGGCUGUGAAAUUCUUUUUUUAGACUAGGAUUAGAUACCCUAUUAUUUUAGGAUGUUAAUUUUCGUGCUCGAGUAGUAUUAGUUAUGUUCUUGAAACUUAAAGAAUUUGGCGGUAUCUUAUUCCGUUCAGAGGAAUCUGUCUCGUUAUCGAUAGUCCGCGUUGGACCUUACUUAGUUGCUAUGGUUUGUAUACCGCCGUUUAUUGAUUAUGCUUUUAGGGGUUUUAAUUUUCUUGUUUCUUUAUUUUGAUUUAUUUCAGGUCAAGGUGCAGCUUGUUUCUAAGUGUUAUUUGAUGGGUUACAUUGAUUUUUUGUUUUGUUGGAUUAUUGGUUGGAUUAACUGGUAUGAAAUUGGAUUUGAUUGUAAUGUUUUGUAGAUUGUUUUCAUGAUAAUUGGUUCUAAGAUAUGUACACAUCGCCCGUCGCUCUCGUUUUUUGUUAAUGAGAUAAGUCGUAACAAAGUGGUUGUACCGGAAGGUGCGGCUGGAGUGAUUU
rnacentral:rRNA from 1 species